AAAUCUCAACCUUCUCGGUUUCUUCUUGACACCGAAGGAGGCUUGGACUUUGGAGGCCUUUGCUGGCGUCUCUCGCCAGCUCCUCUCAAAUGAAUUAGUGGGGUCCUCUUUGCCGAUCCUCGACAUGUGAUAAGAUGUUUCCAUGUCUUGGUUUAUGGCUCUGUUGCUUUUGGGACCCGCUUCUAACCGUCUCAACGAGACAACGUUCGAGCGUGUCGAACACUCUUGAACCCACGAAC
rnacentral:misc_RNA from 1 species